rnacentral:rRNA from 1 species
UUUAAAAGACCUUUUUCGAAAGGUAUGCUUAAAGAGGGGCUUGCGCCAUAUUAGUUAGUUGGUAGGGUAAAAGCCUACCAAGACGAUGAUAUGUAGCUGGACUGAGAGGUUGAACGGCCACAUUGGGACUGAGACACGGCCCAAACUCCCACGGGAGGCAGCAGUAGGGAAUUUUCGGCAAUGGAGGAAACUCUGACCGAGCAACGUCGCGUGAACGAUGAAGUAUUUCGGUAUGUAAAGUUCUUUUAUUGAAGAAGAAAAAAUAGUGGAAAAACUAUCUUGACGCUAUUCAAUGAAUAAGCCCUGGCUAAUUAUGUGCCAGCAGCCGCGGUAAUACAUAAAGGGCGAGCGUUAUCCGGAAUUAUUGGGCGUAAAGGGUGCGUAGGCGGUUUGUUAAGUCUUUAGUUUAAUCUCAGUGCUUAACGCUGUUCUGCUAGAGAAACUGACUUACUAGAGUGAGAUAGAGGCAAGUGGAAUUCCAUGUGUCAGCGGUAAAAUGCGUAAAUAUAUGGAGGAACACCAGAGGCGUAGGCGGCUUGCUGGGUCUUUACUGACGCUGAGGCACGAAAGCGUGGGGAGCAAACAGGAUUAGAUACCCUGGUAGUCCACGCCGUAAACGAUGAGUACUAAGUGUCGGGGAAACUCGGUACUGAAGUUAACACAUUAAGUACUCCGCCUGAGUAGUACGUACGCAAGUAUGAAACUUAAAGGAAUUGACGGGAUCCCGCACAAGCGGUGGAUCAUGUUGUUUAAUUCGAAGAUACACGAAAAACCUUACCAGGUCUUGACAUACUCUGCAAAGCUGUAGAAAUACAGUGGAGGUUAUCAGGGAUACAGGUGGUGCAUGGUUGUCGUCAGCUCGUGUCGUGAGAUGUUAGGUUAAGUCCUAGAACGAGCGCAACCCUUGUCGUUAGUUACCAGCACGUUAUGGUGGGCACUUUAACGAGACUGCCAAUGAAAUAUUGGAGGAAGGUGAGGAUUACGUCAAAUCAUCAUGCCCCUUAUGAUUUGGGCUACAAACGUGAUACAAUGGCUGUUACAAAGAGUAGCUGAAACGUGAGUUUUUGGCCAAUCUCAAAAAAACAGCCUCAGUUCGGAUUGAAGUCUGCAACUCGACUUCAUGAAGUUGGAAUCGCUAGUAAUCGCAAAUCAGCAUGUUGCGGUGAAUACG